rnacentral:rRNA from 1 species
UGAGGAAUAUUGCACAAUGGGCGCAAGCCUGAUGCAGCGACGCCGCGUGUGGGAUGAAGGGGCUACGCCUCGUAAACCACUGUAGCCCGGGACGAAAAACGCCUUAGAGGCGUUAGACGGUACCGGGAAAGUAAGGGUCGGCUAACUACGUGCCAGCAGCCGCGGUAAUACGUAGGACCCAAGCGUUGUCCGGAUUUACUGGGUGUAAAGGGUGCGCAGGCGGAUGGGUAAGUCAGGGGUGAAAGUCUGCAGCUUAACUGUUGAAUUUCCGUUGGUACGGCUCAUCCUGAGUGUGGGAGAGGUGUAUGGAAUGCCGGGUGGAGCAGUAAAGUGCGUAGAUAUCUGGAAGAACACGAGUGGCGUAGGCGGUCAACUGGCCCAGAACUGCCGCCCAUGCACGAAAGCGUGGGGAGCAA